UCUUCCACAAUGGACGAAAGUCUGAUGGAGCAACGCCGCGUGAGUGAAGACGGUUUUCGGAUCGUAAAACUCUGUUGUAAGGGAAGAACAAGUACAGUAGUAACUGGCUGUACCUUGACGGUACCUUAUUAGAAAGCCACGGCUAACUACGUGCCAGCAGCCGCGGUAAUACGUAGGUGGCAAGCGUUGUCCGGAAUUAUUGGGCGUAAAGCGCGCGCAGGCGGUCCUUUAAGUCUGAUGUGAAAUCACGUGGCUCAACCACGUGCGGUCAUUGGAAACUGGAGGACUUGAGUGCAGAAGAGGAAAGUGGAAUUCCAAGUGUAGCGGUGAAAUGCGUAGAGAUUUGGAGGAACACCAGUGGCGAAGGCGACUUUCUGGUCUGUAACUGACGCUGAGGCGCGAAAGCGUGGGGAGCAAACAGG
rnacentral:rRNA from 1 species